AACAUUUUCAAGGAUUGACCACAUACUGGGGCACAAAACUAACCUCAACAAAUUUAAGAGCAUAGACAUUGUUUCAAGCAUCUUCUCUGACUACAGUAGUAUGAAACUAGCACAGGAAAAGAAAUGAGACAAAAAAAAAAAAACGACUACAGGGAGACUAAACAGCAUGCUACUAAAAAACCAAUGGGUCAAUGAGGAAAUCCAAAGGGAAAUUUAAAAAAAUACCUCAAGACAAAUGACAAUGCAAACACAACUAUUCAAAAUAUAUGGGAUGCCACAAAAGCAGUUCUUAGAGGGAAGUUCACAGCAGUACAGGCCUUCCUCAAAAAAGAAGAAAAAUCUCAAAUCAACAACUUAACCUACCACCUAAAAGAAUUAGAAAAGAAGAACAAACAAAAUGUAAGUUCAGCAGAAGGAAGGAAAUUGUAAAGAUUGGAGAAGAAAUCAAUAAAAUAGAGAUUCAAAAAACAAUAGAAAAAAAUAAAACCAAGAGCUGGCUCUUUGAAAGGGUAAACAAAAUUGACAAACCUCUAGCCAGACUCACCAAGAAGACAGAGAGAGAGACCCCACAUAAACGAAAUAAGAAAUGAAAAAAAGAGAAAUCUCAGCAGAUACAGCAGAAAUACAAAGAAAAAAAAAGAGAAUAUGCUACCGUAUUUUACAACCUAGAAGAAAUGGAAAACUUUCUAGAGACAUGCAGCCCACCAAAACUGACUCAAGAGGAAAUAGAUCAUUUGAACAGACAAUGACUAGAAAUGAAAUUGAAUAUAUAAUAAAAACACUCCCUACAAACAAAAGUCUAGGACCAGAUGGCUUCAUAGGUGAAUUCUACCAAACAUACAAAGGAAAACUUAUACCCAACCUUCUUAGAACUUUUCCAAAAGGCUGAAGUAGAAACACUCCCAAAGACAUUCUAUGAAGCCACCAUCAUCCUAAUACCAAAAUUAGACAAAGAUACUACCAAACAACAAAAUUAUAGGCCAGUAUCUUUGAUGAAUAGACUCAAAAAUUCAACAAAAUUUUAGCCAACAGAAUCCAAUAACACAUAAAAAAGAUCAUACAGCACAACUAAGUGGGUUUCAUCCCAAGUUCACAAGGAUGGUUCAAUAUAUGCAAAAUCAAUCAGUGUUAUACACCACAUUAACAAAAGAAAAGUCAAAAACCACAUGAUCAUCUCAAUGGAUAUAGAAAAAUCUUUUGACAAAAUCCAACAUCCAUUUAUAAGAAAAAUUCUUUACCAAAGUGGGUGUAGAGGGAACAUAUCUUACCAUAAUAAAAGCCAUUUAUGACAAACCCACAGCCAGUAUAAUAUUCAAGGGUGAAAAAUUGAAAGACUUCCUACGAAAAGCUGGCACAAGACAAGGAUGCCCACUCUCACUACUCAACAUAGUAUUGAAAGUCCGAGCCAUAGCGAUAAGACAAACCAAAGAAAUAAAAGAUAUCCAAAUUGGAAGAGAAGAGGUAAAAUUGUCACUAUAUGCAGAUGACAUACUAUAUACAUAAAACCCUAAGGAGUCCACAAAAAAUUUACUCAAGCUGAUCAACAAAUUCAGCAAAAUAGCAGGUGACAAGAUUAACAUUCAGAAAUCGGUUGCAUUUCUAUAUACUAACAAUGAAAUAUUAGAAAAGGAGUAUCAAAAAAUACCUUUUAAAAAAUCACACCCCCAAAAUUAAAUACCUGGGAAUAAACCUGACCAAGGAGGUGAAAGACUUAUAUGCUGAAAACUAUAAAACAUUAUAUUUUUCAAGGAAAUUUAAAGAGGAUUCAAAGUAGAAAGAUAUCUCAUGUUCCUGGAUUGCAAGAAUUAGUAUCAUUAAAAUGGUCAUACUACUCAAAGCAAUCUGCAGAUUUAAUGUGAUCCAUAUCAAAUUACCCAUGACAUUUUUCACAGAACUAGAACAAACAAUCUAAAAAUUUAUAUGGAACCAUGCAAGACCUAGAAUUGCCAAAGCAAUCCUGAGGAACAAAAACCAAGCAGGAGGCAUAACUCUCCCAGACUCCAGGCAAUAUUACAAAGCUACAGUAAUCAAACCAGUAUGGUUCUGGUACCAAAACAGAAAUUCAGACCAAUGAAACAGAAUAGAGAACCCAGAAAUAAACCCAGACAUCUAUGGUCAAUUAAUAUUUGACAAAGGAGGCAAGAAUAUAAAAUGGGGAAAUGACAGUCUCUUCAACAAGUGGUGGGGAAAACUGGACAGCUGCAUGUAAGUCAAUGAAACUAGAACACACCUUCACGUCAUGCACAAAAAUAAACUCAAAAUGGCUUAAAGAUUUAAACAUAAGACAAGAUAGCAUAAAACUCCUAGAAGAGAACACAGGCAAAACAUUCUGACAUCAAUUGUACAAAUGUUUUCUUAGGUUGGUCACCCAAGGCAAUAGAAAAACAAAAAUAAACCAAUGGUACCUAAUCAAACUUACAAGCUUUUGCACACCAAAGGUAACCAU
rnacentral:lncRNA from 1 species